GACGAACGCUGGCGGCGUGCUUGACACAUGCAAGUCGAACGGAAAGGCCCUGCUUUUGUGGGGUGCUCGAGUGGCGAACGGGUGAGUAACACGUGAGUAACCUGCCCUUGACUUUGGGAUAACUUCAGGAAACUGGGGCUAAUACCGGAUAGGAGCUCCUGCUGCAUGGUGGGGGUUGGAAAGUUUCGGCGGUUGGGGAUGGACUCGCGGCUUAUCAGCUUGUUGGUGGGGUAGUGGCUUACCAAGGCUUUGACGGGUAGCCGGCCUGAGAGGGUGACCGGCCACAUUGGGACUGCGAUACGGCCCAGACUCCUACGGGAGGCAGCAGUGGGGAAUAUUGCACAAUGGGCGGAAGCCUGAUGCAGCAACGCCGCGUGCGGGAUGACGGCCUUCGGGUUGUAAACCGCUUUCGCCUGUGACGAAGCGUGAGUGACGGUAAUGGGUAAAGAAGCACCGGCCAACUACGUG
rnacentral:rRNA from 1 species